AUCGGGUGGUUCUCUCUCUCUGAUUUCAUCUUCUCUUAAUUACUGACUGAAUGGUUUUGAGUAAUAAGACCACGACUACAAAAUGUACCUCAUACUUCUUUUUUAUCUUUAAUCUCUACAGCAUACAUGAAUCUUCUAAGAUAUCAUAGAUAUUUUUAAAAUAGAAUAAUCAGCAAAUAAGGUUUUAAGACUUCAAAAGAUUGAUAUGCCCAGCAGGUUGUGAGUAAGGUUUGAAAUUAAGUCACAAGCAUGUGCAUUGAUUAAAAACCAAGAUGAGAAUUCUUGAUUAAUAUUAUGCAACAGUGAAUCAAUUUUCUCGAACACUAAUAACACGUUAACACUAAUAACACAUUGUAACCAAACCCUCGAGAUCCUUAAUUAUAUAUUAAAUCAUAAUUUCCUUCCAACGCAGGUGUAGUACAAGUUGAAGGAAUCAUUAAUUAAAUACAUAAAUAUAUUUUAGUUUUUUGGUUUUUUAAUAAAUUUCUUUGGAACUAAUAUGAACAUUGCUCCAAUCUCCAAUCUCCAAGAAUCCUAACCUCCGCACCCUCCACUAAUUGCUAUAUAUAUAUAUAUAUAUAUAUAUAUAUAUAUAUAUAUAUAUCUAUUAACUAAUAUGAAUCCCUAAUAGCUUUGCCACUUGGCAAGCUAUCCUUCACCCUCACCAACCCCUUUUUUGAACCAAACCAUCUUUCUGAACCAAACCAUCUUUCUGAACCAAACCGCCAUUUUUUUUCUUAACCGAACCACUCCUCUCCUUUCUCUUCUCUGUCUCUUUUUUGAACUGCCUUUGAACCAAACCGCCUUUCUUUUUUUUGAACCGCCUCUGAACUGAACCGACACUCUCUCCUCUCUAUAUUUUUUGUAUGAUACUCUGAACUGAACCAUGCCUCUGAACCAGACCGCUAUAUUUCGCCCGAACCGAAUCGAACCAUCCCUCUCUCCUGUCCACGUUUUCGUACGACGUUUCCUCUCCCCACUCGGCCGACCGUCUCCCUCCUCCUCUCUCCGCUGCGCGUUCCCUCUUCUCUCACCAUUGAAUGUUCCCUCUUCUCUCACCGCAUCUUUCUCUCCCCUCUCCACCGCAUACAAUGGAUCUGAUGAGAUGGAUCCAAAUCUCAUCAAAUCUGCCCUCUUCUCUCACCGUUUCGUAUGGAAUCCAAAGGCUUUUAGAUGAGAUCUACAAUGGCAAAAGGGUCGACGAAUGGGUUUUUAGCUUUCUAUGAGAUCUGCAAUGGCAAAAGGGUCGACGAAUGGGUUUUUUAGUAUUUGGUUAAUCAAAGUAAUGAUUAUGACGAUUGAAGGUGUUCAACUGUGUUAUUGUGGAAGGACAAAAGUAUGGGAUUGAAUUGAUUCUUAGCUUAAUCAAUAAUCUAAAACAUUAUAGUGGGAAGACGCAAUAUAUUAAAUAGGCAUGAGACAAAGGCAUAGGAUUGGGCUCCUCAAAUGAUUCUUUCUUCUUUGAUUCAUCGAUUUGGAGCCAUUCAAGAUUUAUUAGAGGGUAAUAUCAGCUCGCUGAUAAAUAUGUACUAAAAAUAGUUUAUUGCUAAGUCGCAAUUGAAUUUAUUUGGGAUUUUCUGAGAUAUGAACUUUAAAUAUGAUGAUAUUUGAUCCAAUAUCAGAUACUUCUUAGACGAUGCUAACAAAGAAAAACCACUUGGCUAGAACUGAAUAGAGAUAAUCCCACCAUCAGAAUCAAUGAAUGAGCCUCAGUGUAUAUCAGAGGCAUUUGGUGACACCUUUCAAAAUUGUAGGAUUGGAUUGAAAAAAUGGCAGAAUAUGUGAAGUUGUGGGGGUGAGGAGGAUGUUAUGGAGCAUCCAAAUAUGCAUGCCAUACACAUGCCGCUGAAAAAAUGGUAGAAUAUGUGAAGUUGUGGGGGUGAGGAGGAUGUUCUGGAGCAUCCAAAUAUGCAUGCCAUACACAUGUUGCAGAGGGUAAAACAGGCCCUGCCUCCUCUCCCCCAUUCCUAUGACAUCAACUAUAAUUUACCACACAAACUGUUUGGAUUUUGUUCUUUUACUCCCAAAUCCUGCUAUUGCCUUUGUUGUAAUCUCUAAAUUAAAAAAAACAAAGAGAUAAAAUUGGGUUUU